rnacentral:rRNA from 1 species
CCUACGGGGGGCUGCAGUGGGGAAUUUUGGACAAUGGGGGAAACCCUGAUCCAGCAAUGCCGCGUGUGUGAAGAAGGCCUUCGGGUUGUAAAGCACUUUUGGCGGGAACGAAACGGCGCUGGUUAAUACCUGGCGCUAAUGACGGUACCCGCAGAAUAAGCACCGGCUAACUACGUGCCAGCAGCCGCGGUAAUACGUAGGGUGCAAGCGUUAAUCGGAAUUACUGGGCGUAAAGCGUGCGCAGGCGGUUUUGUAAGACGGAUGUGAAAUCCCCGGGCUCAACCUGGGAACUGCAUUCGUGACUGCAAGGCUAGAGUAUGUCAGAGGGAGGUGGAAUUCCGCGUGUAGCAGUGAAAUGCGUAGAGAUGCGGAGGAACACCGAUGGCGAAGGCAGCCUCCUGGGAUAAUACUGACGCUCAUGCACGAAAGCGUGGGGAGCAAACAGGAUUAGAUACCCCAGUAGUC